UUGCUCUUCAACGAGGAAUGCCUAGUAAGCGUGAGUCAUCAGCUCACGUUGAUUACGUCCCUGCCCUUUGUACACACCGCCCGUCGCUACUACCGAUUGAAUGGCUUAGUGAGAUCUCCGGAUUGGCUUUGAGAAGCUGGCAACGGCCUCUUAUUGCUGAGAAGCUGAUCAAACUUGGUCAUUUAGAGGAAGUAAAAGUCGUAACAAGGUUUCCGUAGGUGAACCUGCGGAAGGAUCAUUAUUGAAUUGUUUGUUUGAAUUGGCUUAAAAACCCAGUUCGGCAUCCAUAUCCAUUACACCUGUGCACCGUUGGAUGACCUCGACUCUUGUAGUCUUGGAAGUCCACUUUUACACCAAACAAUAUGUAACAAAUGUAGUCUUAUUAUAACAUAAUAAAACUUUCAACAACGGAUCUCUUGGUUCUCGCAUCGAUGAAGAACGCAGCGAAAUGCGAUAAGUAAUGUGAAUUGCAGAAUUCAGUGAAUCAUCGAAUCUUUGAACGCAAAUUGCACUCUUUGGUAUUCCGAAGAGUAUGCCUGUUUGAGUGUCAUGCAACCCUCAACUCCAAGUUUGGUUAAUCUGAGCCUGGAUGUUGGAUUUGGGCGUUUGUCAGUGAUGAGCCGACUCGCCUUAAAAUUGUGAGCUGGAUUAGUCUUUGUACUGGUUCCCCUAGGCGUGAUAAGUAUUUCGCUUGGGACAUGAGUUCGCUCGUGGCCAGGACUUUGACAAUGGUCUGCUUUCUAUACCCCAUACGCACCUGUGUGUAUAUUCUUGACAUCUGGCCUCAAAUCAGGUAGGACUACCCGCUGAACUUAAGCAUAUCAAUAAGCGGAGG
rnacentral:rRNA from 1 species